AUAGCUUGAUAACAGUGAAUUUCG
rnacentral:misc_RNA from 1 species